rnacentral:misc_RNA from 1 species
GUCUUUUUUUUAUUUUAUAUAAAUAAAAAAUUUUUUUAUAGAUUGAAAUUUUGAAUACAUAAAAAAUUUCUAAUGAUCCUUCCGCAGGUUCACCUACGGAAA